CAAAAAUAAACUAUAGUUUUUUAAGCCAAAACCUAUAGUUUUAAAAAGCUAUAGUAUUUUGGAACAAAAACAUAGUUAUGAAAACUAUAGUUUUGACUAAAAACUAUAGUUAAAAAAACUAUACUAGUUUAGUUGAAAAACUAUAGUUUCUGAAACAAAUAUUUUGGUAUACCAUGCAUGCAGCACAUCACCACCUAGCACAUGAAAUUUGUUCAUCUGAUAACAUUAUUUUAUUAAUAUAAUAAAUAUAACAAGCUGUUUGCAUAAUAAUAAACUAUACAGCUAAUUCAAUUAAGGUUGUCUUUCCAAAACCUUAAUAAUAAGGUUGUCUUUCCAAAACCUUAAGGUCCGUUUACACGGGGAUUUUUGCUGCGAUUUUCUUCUGAUGGAUGUGAAGAAGUGGGUGAGUUAUAAAUGUACCAGGUUAUGAAAUUUCAUAACAAGGUCAUUAAGUAAUCUACUCCUUCACAUCCUCCAAAAGGAGAAAAUUGCAGCAAAAAUCACCCGUGUAAACGGGCCUUUAAACCUUAAACUCUGAGCAUGCAAGGGAUGAUGGGUUGGUUUUCAAAUAUUUGGCCCGUAAUUAAACUUAGAGAAUUGCCUUUGCAGGAAUUGUGUUUUCUACUGUGCAUCUUCUAUGUCUCUUAGGCAUUCUUGCAAAGCCAAUUAACCCAUUGAGUGGCGAUGCACCCUACUUUAGUAUUUUACUCUGUCUAACGCCAGACGAUUUUACUCGUCAAGGGGAGAGCACUGGCUCUUAAUGGGUUAAUUUGCUUAUCUGCCCAUGUGUCUAGUUAACCCAUUGAGUGGCGAUACACCCUGAUGCACCUUACUUUAGUAUUUUAAUUACUCUAUCUAACACCAGAGUAUUUUACUCUGUCUAACGCCAG